rnacentral:lncRNA from 1 species
UCCCACGACCUUCCCAGCGGCACACCCUGCUCUCUGGACCCUCCCCCUCCUGACCAGAGCACUGCAGUCGGCUAUGCUUUAUGUCCAGCAGAGAGCGCUGCUUCGACUCUCCUCAGCAGGUGAGGCGCCUCCUACCAUGACCUCCGCCCUCCGCUCCUGAGAAGGUUGAGGCCUGAGCACCUGCGAGCCUCAUCAGCCCCAGGCCUCACCUUCCCACCAAGCCCGCCCUAGGCGUCCCCAGUGCUGAGCAGCGGGAGUGUACGGUGCAGCAGAGUUGCUUGUGAUCUUUCACCAAAGGACCCAGGAGAUGUAUUUUGUGUUGUGCUCAAAUUUUCCGUGUGCAUUAUUGAAGCAUAAAACCAUUAGUUCACAUCUUGAUUGUCACUGUCAUGAGAGAGAGGCAAACACUGUUUACCCUUGGUAAUUGUCUCAGGAGUUGGACGUGGCUUCCGGACCUUGUGCAGCAUGCACUGAUCUCAGGGCUUCAUGGACAGAUUCUCAAUAAAGUCUCCAGAUUUUAUAUAGUAACAACAACAACAACAACAAAAGCAGCCUUGAGAACAUUUUGGAAGAAGCUAAUCCUGAAACUACUGUAGUCACGGCAUGCAGACCACUACAGGGGUAAGAAAUAGCUAGACCUGGGCCUUUACUUGGUAUUUAUUAAAAAGCAUGAUUUUCAUUUGUUAUCAGGGACUCAAAGGCCAUUUUUCCUAUAAGCUCUAACUUUUUAAACUACUGUCUAGGAAAAUAUGGAUAGAUUUUACUAUAAACUCUAACAUUUUUCCUGGGAAUGGUGGCACACACCUGUAAUCCCAGCACUCGGGAGGCUGAGGCAGGAGGAUUGCUUUGAGUUUGAGGGCAGCCUCUGCUACAUAGUGAGUUCAAGGCAAGCCUGAACUUCAUAGUGAGACCCUGUCUCAAAAAAAAAAAAAAAGAAAGAAAAGAAAAGAAAAAAAAAACCCCAAACACUCUAACAUUUUAAACUAAUGUCUAUCAAAAAAUAGGACCCCUGGUACAAAUUUAGAAGCAGGCUUUAUAUUGACUAUUGCUAUAUAUCAUUGUUUGAGAAGCUAAAUAAUUUAAAAGAAUACCCAGACAUUGGUAUAUUCAUAUUGUCUCAAUGUUUAACUGACUCUGAUUUUGAAGAGUUUUUAGGAUCCUAACAAACUCAAAAAUUUUAAUUAUAUUUGUAUGCUCUUUGUUUUUUGAGACAGGGUUUCACAAUGUAAUUCAGGCUGGCCUUGAACUGAUUAUGUAUCCCAGGGUGUCCUCAAACUCACAGCUCCUGCUUCCUGAGUGCUAGUAUUAUGAGUGUAUGAACCACACCCAGCCAUUAGUAUUUUUAACUUUUGUGAAACUGAAACUCUUUCUAAAGUUAAAACAUCUCAAAUAUAAAUUUGAUUAGCUAAUGCAGGGAAAAUUUAUAUUAGCAGUUGAGGACACAUUUGUUAUAUCUUUUAAAACUUUUCUUUGUGUUUUUAUUGAGACAGAGUCUCACUAUGUAGCCCAGGGUGGCCUCAAAAUCUUCCUGUAUCAUCCUCCUGCAUGCUGGGAUUACAGCAAUGCAUCGCCAUGCUUGACCUUUUAAAAACAUUUUAUAAAAGUCAUGUGAACAAAGAGGUGUUUAGGUUUAUGUUUUUAAGUUAUUGAGCACUUUUUAAAAAAAGUAAACUAGGGCUGGGGAUUUAGCUCAGUGGUUUCGCCGCCUGCUGCCCAAGUGCAAGGACCUGAGUUUGAUCCCUGGUACCAAAAAAAAAUAAAAGUAAUCUGGUACUAUCUCAACAAUAUAUAAAUACAAGUAUACAGGUAGGCAUAACAUGUACAUUUCUGCCAACACACAUAGAGCAAUGACUUAAAGUUAUAAUUUAUC